rnacentral:rRNA from 1 species
CAGGCCUAACACAUGCAAGUCUAACGAGAAACUCCGGGCUUGCUCGGAGGAGUAAAGUGGCGCACGGGUGAGUAACGCGUGGAUAACCUGCCCCAGAACCUGGGAUAACAUCGCGAAAGCGUUGCUAAUACCGGAUAUUGUCCCUUAAACCGUGGUUUUUGGGAUGAAGGGUGACCUCUCUUUAGAAGUUGCCGUUCAGGGAGGGGCCCGCGUACCAUUAGCUUGUUGGUAGGGUAAUGGCCUACCAAGGCUACGAUGGUUAGCUGGUCUGAGAGGAUGAUCAGCCACACUGGAACUGAAACACGGUCCAGACUCCUACGGGAGGCAGCAGUGAGGAAUUUUGCGCAAUGGGGGAAACCCUGACGCAGCAACGCCGUGUGAGUGAAGAAGGCCUUCGGGUCGUAAAGCUCUGUCAAGGGGGAAAAAAUCCUUUCGAUUAAUAGUCAUUAAGGACUGAUGGUACCCCUAGAGGAAGCACCGGCUAACUCCGUGCCAGCAGCCGCGGUAAAACGUAUGGGCAAGCGUUAUCCGGAUUUACUGG